rnacentral:rRNA from 1 species
GACGAACGCUGGCGGCGUGCCUAAUACAUGCAAGUAGAACGCAGUUGCGAACGGGUGAGUAACGCGUAGGUAACUCCCUCAUAGCGGGGGAUAACUAUUGGAAACGAUAGUUAAUACCGCAUACUGUGAGAUGGACCUGCGUUGUAUUAGCUAGGUGGUGAGGUAAAGGCUCACCAAGGCGACGAUACAUAGCCGAGCUGAGAGGGUGAUCGGCCAACCUGGGACUGGGACCCGGGCCAGACCCCUACGGGGAGGAAGCGGAGGGGAACAUCGACAAUGGACGGAAGUCCGGACGAGCAAAGCCGGGGUAGUGGAGGAGGUGUUCGGGUCGUAAAGCUCUGUUGAGAGGGAAGCGGUACCUAAACAGGAAGGGACGGCUAACUACGUGCCAGCAGCCGCGGUAAUAC